GACAGAGGUGCCGAGCGUUAGGCGGAAUCACUGGGCUUAAAGCGUGUGUAGGCGGGUCGUUAAGUGCCUUGUGAAAUCCCACAGCUCACCUGUGGAACUGCUUGGCAUACUGGCGAUCUUGAGCCACUUAGGGGCAACCGGAACAAACGGUGGAGCGGUGAAAUGCGUAGAUAUCGUUUGGAACGCCAAUGGUGAAAACAGACAGUCGGAGGUAGUGCUGCGUCUGAGAACACGAAAGCCAGGGGAGCGAAACGGG
rnacentral:rRNA from 1 species